UACGUAGGUGACAAGCGUUGUCCGGAUUUACUGGGCGUAAAGAGCGCGCAGGCGGUCGAUCAAGUCGAGUGUGAAAGCCCCCGGCUCAACUGGGGAGGGUCAUUCGAUACUGAUCGACUCGAAGGCAGGAGAGGGUAGUGGAAUUCCCGGUGUAGUGGUGAAAUGCGUAGAUAUCGGGAGGAACACCAGUGGCGAAGGCGACUUCCUGGCCUGUUCUUGACGCUGAGGCGCGAAAGCUAGGGGAGCAAACGG
rnacentral:rRNA from 1 species